rnacentral:rRNA from 1 species
ACGGAAGGCAGCAGUGGGGAAUAUUGGACAAUGGGGGAAACCCUGAUCCAGCGACGCCGCGUGAGUGAAGAAGUAUUUCGGUAUGUAAAGCUCUAUCAGCAAGGAAGAAAAUGACGGUACUUGACUAAGAAGCCCCGGCUAACUACGUGCCAGCAGCCGCGGUAAUACGUAGGGGGCAAGCGUUAUCCGGAUUUACUGGGUGUAAAGGGAGCGUAGACGGCAUAGCAAGUCUGAAGUGAAAUGCAUGGGCUCAACCCAUGAACUGCUUUGGAAACUGUUAAGCUAGAGUGCAGGAGAGGUAAGUGGAAUUCCUAGUGUAGCGGUGAAAUGCGUAGAUAUUAGGAGGAACACCAGUGGCGAAGGCGGCUUACUGGACCGUAACUGACGUUGAGGCUCGAAAGCGUGGGGAGCAAACAGGAUUAGAUACCCUGGUA